rnacentral:rRNA from 1 species
CUAAGAAUAUUCCGCAAUGGAGGAAACUCUGACGGAGCGACGCCGCGUGGAUGAUGAAGGUCGGAAGAUUGUAAAAUCCUUUUAUGACUGAGGAAUAAGCCGGGUGAGAGAAACGCCUGGUGGUGACUGUAGGUCAUGAAUAAGCAACGGCUAAUUACGUGCCAGCAGCCGCGGUAACACGUAAGUUGCGAGCGUUGUUCGGAAUUAUUGGGCGUAAAGGGCAUGUAGGCGGUCUGUCAAGCCAGGCGUGAAAGCCAGGGGCUCAACCCCUGAACUGCGCUUGGAACUGGCGGACUGGAGUCGCUGAGGGGGAACCGGAAUUCCUGGUGUAGGGGUGAAAUCUGUAGAUAUCAGGAAGAACACCGAUGGCGAAGGCAGGUUUCCAGCAGACGACUGACGCUGAGGUGCGAAGGUGCGGGGGAGC